UACAGAGGUCUCAAGCGUUGUUCGGAAUCACUGGGCGUAAAGGGCGCGUAGGCGGCCUGCUAAGUCGAACGUGAAAUCCCUGGGCUCAACCCAGGAACUGCGUCCGAUACUGGUUGGCUUGAAUCCGGGAGAGGGACGUGGAAUUCCAGGUGUAGCGGUGAAAUGCGUAGAUAUCGGGAGGAACACCAGUAGCGAAGGCGGCUCGCUGGGCCAUUCCUGACGCUGAGACGCGAAAGCUAGGGGAGCGAACAGG
rnacentral:rRNA from 1 species